rnacentral:rRNA from 1 species
AUGUCCUCCUCCACCGCAAUCACCUCCUCUGGCCUCAACUACAACACAUCAGAACCUCUCAGCUGGACGAACUACGUUCUCUGGCGAGCCCAGGCGCGAUCCCAGAUACUGGGCGCUGGCUUGUUUGGCUACAUAGAUCAAACCAUAGAGGAGCCUCCCAAAACAAUCACUAGCAAAGACAAAGAUGGUAAGGAGCAGGUAGUUCCCAAUCCUGCCCAUAAUCCCUGGUUAGUUCAAGAUCAGCAAAUCGUGGCAUAUCUCCUUCGUAAUCUGUCCAAGGAGGUGCUGGUUCAAGUGGCUUCGCUU